GCUUACGGCCACACCGCCUGGUUCACGCCCCGAUCUCGUUUGAUCUCGGAAGCUAAGGUAGGUUGGGCCUGGUUAGUACUUGGAUGGGAGACCGCCUGGGAAUACCAGGUGCUGUAAGCU
ensembl:rRNA 5S_rRNA 5S ribosomal RNA